rnacentral:rRNA from 1 species
CCUACGGGGGGCAGCAGUGAGGAAUAUUGGUCAAUGGGCGGGAGCCUGAACCAGCCAAGUCGCGUGAAGGAAGAAGGUACUUAGUAUUGUAAACUUCUUUUGUCGGGGCACAAAGGCGGAGACGCGUCUCCGGAUGAGUGUACCCGAAGAAAAAGCAUCGGCUAACUCCGUGCCAGCAGCCGCGGUAAUACGGAGGGUGCAAGCGUUGUCCGGAAUCAUUGGGCGGAAAGAGUUCGUAGGUGGCACGUUAAGUCUGGUGUUAAAGGCGGAAGCUCAACUUCCGUAGGGCACUGGAUACUGGCGAGCGUGAAUGCGGUAGAGGUAAAGGGAAUUCCUGGUGUAGCGGUGAAAUGCGUAGAUAUCAGGAGGAACAUCGGUGGCGUAAGCGCUUUACUGGGCCGUAAUUGACACUGAGGAACGAAAGCCGGGGUAGCAAAUGGGAUUAGAUACCCUUGUAGUC